rnacentral:rRNA from 1 species
UACAGGGGGUGCAAACGUUGCUCGGAAUUAUUGGGCGUAAAGCGCGCGUAGGCGGCUACUUAAGUCGGAUGUGAAAGCCCUUGGCUCAACUGAGGAAGUGCAUCCGAAACUGGCAGGCUAGAGUACGUAAGAGGGUCGCGGAAUUCCCGGUGUAGAGGUGAAAUUCGUAGAUAUCGGGAGGAACACCGGUGGCGAAGGCGGCCUGCUGGGCAGUAGCUGACGCUGAGGCGCGACAGCGUGGGGAGCAAACAGG